rfam:Bacillus lehensis G1, complete genome.
GGUACCUUUAAACCAGUCCAGAGAGGCUGACAAGGACAGCGGAUGUGCGUUCCCAUUAUGGGGACGUAUAAGUUCGUCGAAGCGUUUUAAGCAUAGGCGCUUUCACGACCAAAAAGGCUAAUUGUCAGUUACGUGACAAUUAGCCUUUUUUU